GACGAACGCUGGCGGCGUGCUUAACACGUGCAAGUCGAACGGAAAGGCCCUGCUUUUGUGGGGUGCUCGAGUGGCGAACGGGUGAGUAACACGUGAGUAACCUGCCCUUGACUUUGGGAUAACUUCAGGAAACUGGGGCUAAUACCGGAUAGGAGCUCUUGCUGCAUGGUGGGGGUUGGAAAGAUUCGGCGGUUGGGGAUGGACUCGCGGCUUAUCAGCUUGUUGGUGGGGUAGUGGCUUACCAAGGCUUUGACGGGUAGCCGGCCUGGGAGGGUGACCGGCCACAUUGGUACUGAGGUACGGCCCAGACUCCUACGGGAGGCAGCAGUGGGGAAUAUUGCACAAUGGGCGGAAGCCUGAUGCAGCAACGCCGCGUGCGUGAUGACGGCCUUCGGGUUGUAAACCGCUUUCGCCUGUGACGAAGCGUGAGUGACGGUAAUGGGUAAAGAAGCACCGGCUAACUACGUG
rnacentral:rRNA from 1 species